AUCUCGGUGUACCGCUCGCCCUUGAGCGAAACGAUCUUAUUGUCCCGGUAGCGAACCAGCUUGCGAGGCUCCAUUUUUGGGACCACCGGCUUGUACUCACGCUGGGUGGCGUUCUUGUCAACAUAGGAGUACCUAGAUGGGGUGCUAUAAUAUAUUGCUGUGCCGACUUAAUUUUAAAUUGUAUACUUACCUAGCGAUAAUACGAUUCUUGAGUUCAUUAUCGUCGACGACUACAUUCUUUUUUAUGUAAGUAGUAUGCGACUUGUCAGUAAUACAUUGGUUGGUCUCUUGACGAUGCAAGAGGAUCUGGGUGGCGCUAUCGAUGUCGCCCUUGGAAAUUGCGAUGCAGUGCUUGAUCUGCGAAAGGAUAUAAAUGCAUUACACAGUAUUGAAAAACUUCUUUCAUUUGACUUACCUCGGCAAUUGCCGAAUCCGGAAACAUUUCCUGGAGCACUUCGGUCUCGUCCAAAAAGUAGUCGCAAGUGGAGCUGGAGCUGUCGGUAGAGCCUCCAUCGCUAGUCUCCGAAAGAUGUUGGGAACGCUUGUUUCCACCACAGCCACCGCUGCUGCUGCUGUUCGAAGAGAGUUCGUCCUUUUCGGAAGUGGACGAGUUGCGAGCACGCAGCUUGGACUCCGGAAUAAUGCUGGAGAGGCUCAGGGAGCUGCAAAUAUAUUGCAAGUAUAUAUUAAAUAUAAAAAUUUUAAGCAUAAGAAUGCAAAGGAAAA